rnacentral:rRNA from 1 species
GUGAACGCUGGCGGUAGGCCUAACACCUGCAAGUCGAACGGCAGCACAGUAAGAGCUUGCUCUUACGGGUGGCGAGUGGCGGACGGGUGAGGAAUACAUCGGAAUCUACUUUUUCGUGGGGGAUAACGUAGGGAAACUUACGCUAAUACCGCAUACGACCUACGGGUGAAAGCAGGGGAUCUUCGGACCUUGCGCGAUUGAAUGAGCCGAUGUCGGAUUAGCUAGUUGGCGGGGUAAAGGCCCACCAAGGCGACGAUCCGUAGCUGGUCUGAGAGGAUGAUCAGCCACACUGGAACUGAGACACGGUCCAGACUCCUACGGGAGGCAGCAGUGGGGAAUAUUGGACAAUGGGCGCAAGCCUGAUCCAGCCAUACCGCGUGGGUGAAGAAGGCCUUCGGGUUGUAAAGCCCUUUUGUUGGGAAAGAAAAGCAGCAGGUUAAUACCCCGCUGUGCUGACGGUACCCAAAGAAUAAGCACCGGCUAACUUCGUG